CAGGACUACUCGGGUAUCUAAUCCCGUUUGCUCCCCACGCUUUCGCGCCUCAGCGUCAGAACCGGUCCAGCGAGCCGCCUUCGCCACUGGUGUUCCUCCCAAUAUCUACGCAUUUCACCGCUACACUGGGAAUUCCACUCGCCUCUCCCGGCCUCAAGCAAAGCAGUUUGGAGGGCAGUUCCUCGGUUAAGCCGAGGGAUUUCACCUUCCACUUGCCAAGCCGCCUACGCGCCCUUUACGCCCAAUAAUUCCGAAUAACGCUUGCCCCCUCUGUAUUACCGCGGCUGCUGACAC
rnacentral:misc_RNA from 1 species